rnacentral:tRNA from 1 species
UUGUAGCUCAGCUGGAUAGAGCAACGGCCUUCUAAGCCGUGGGUCGAAGGUUCGAAUCCUUUCAG